rnacentral:tRNA from 1 species
GGUAAAAUUAGUUUAAUUGGUCAAAUUACUUCUUGUGGCGAAGCUGGUUCAGAGUUCGAAUCUCUGAUUUUACC